rnacentral:lncRNA from 10 species
AGAAACUGAGCACCUGACCAUAAGGUACCAAGGAGCCAUGGAUUUUGAGGAACGUUCCAUGAAACAAGUGUUGUAUGAUCUACCUAGCCAUACAGUCUGAUGUUGCCAGCAGCAUUCCAUCAAGUGAAAGCAGUGUAUACGUAGGACCAGAAACAAGCAAGAUACAAGUCUGAGCUCUCAUUAUUUGGUGGUCUGAGAAAGCAAGAGAAGAAUA